UACAGAGGGUGCAAGCGUUAAUCGGAAUGACUGGGCGUAAAGGGCGCGUAGGUGGUUAUGUAAGUCGGAUGUGAAAGACCUGGGCUUAACCUGGGGGUGUCAUCCGAUACUGUGUAGCUAGAGUAUGGGAGAGGAAAGCGGAAUUUCAGGUGUAGCGGUGAAAUGCGUAGAUAUCGGAAAGAACACCGGUGGCGAAGGCGGCUUUCUGGCCUAAUACUGACACUGAGGCGCGAAAGCGUGGGGAGCAAACAGG
rnacentral:rRNA from 1 species